GACGUAGGAGGCGAGCGUUAUCCGGAUUCACUGGGCGUAAAGCGCAUGUAGGCGGUUCGCUAAGUCCGCUGUUAAAGCCCCCGGCUCAACUGGGGGAGGUCAGUGGAGACUAUCGGACUUGAGGGCAACAGAGGCACAUGGAACUCCCGGUGUAGCGGUGGAAUGCGUAGAGAUCGGGAAGAACACCAGUGGCGAAGGCGAUGUGCUGGGUUGCGACUGACGCUGAGAUGCGAAAGUGUGGGGAGCAAACGGG
rnacentral:rRNA from 1 species